rnacentral:rRNA from 1 species
UACGUAGGGGGCAAGCGUUGUCCGGAUUUAUUGGGCGUAAAGAGCUCGUAGGCGGCUUGGCAAGUCGGGUGUGAAAACUCCAGGCUCAACCUGGAGACGCCACCCGAUACUGCCAUGGCUAGAGUCCGGUAGGGGACCACGGAAUUCCUGGUGUAGCGGUGAAAUGCGUAGAGAUCGGGAAGAACAUCGGUGGCGAAAGCGCUCUACUGGGCCAUAACUGACACUCAGGGACGAAAGCUAGGGGAGCGAAUGGG